AUUGAUGGAAAAAACUCAAACGUCUCUCUUCUCUUCCCAUUAUCGAUCGCCAUAUCUAACGCUCUGUUGGAGCAUUCCUGCCGCCGCCUCCUCCACUUGUGCUGGCCACUGCAUAACACAGGAAGGCUUGUUUAACCUUGCCCUGCAUUUAAGUGAAGUCGGUGCAUUCUUCUUGAUAUCAAAGUUGUGGGCUGAUAUGAAGUUGGGCAUGCUUAAAGGCUGAAGAUCGUCACUUCAGUCUUCCUUGUAUCUGUGGUUUUAUAAAGAGUUAUGCUUGAACAUAUACAAUUCGUGGCUAUCAACUCUCCUUACGGCUCAAUGCGCAGCUACCUAAGUGAAGAAUUGAUAUGAACAAACAAAGGGGUAUUUGGAGAUAUGUGUUUUGGCUGGAAUUUUUUUUGUUUUUAAGUUUCUAUUUAUUUACUGAAGAACAUAAAACAGAGACAGAAACAAGACGAGGCGGUUGGAGUAGGGGUGGAAACGGGAGAAGCAGAAAUUGGUUUAUACAGUUGGCCUCUUGAGUUAGGAUUUAUUUGUAACUGAUAGUUUUUAGCUUUUUGGUUUAUGCAGUCGAAGCAUUUGAUCAAGUGUUUUUGUUGCAUAUGUAGGAUUUAUUUGUAACUGAUUGUUUUCUUACCUUUUUUUCAUGAAAUAUUGCUUCUUGAUUUGUAGUUA